GAUGAACGCUGGCGGCGUGCCUAAUACAUGCAAGUCGAGCGAACGGACGAGAAGCUUGCUUCUCUGAUGUUAGCGGCGGACGGGUGAGUAACACGUGGAUAACCUACCUAUAAGACUGGGAUAACUUCGGGAAACCGGAGCUAAUACCGGAUGAUAUUUUGAACCGCAUGGUUCAAAAGUGAAAGACGGUCUUGCUGUCACUUAUAGAUGGAUCCGCGCUGCAUUAGCUAGUUGGUAAGGUAACGGCUUACCAAGGCAACGAUGCAUAGCCGACCUGAGAGGGUGAUCGGCCACACUGGAACUGAGACACGGUCCAGACUCCUACGGGAGGCAGCAGUAGGGAAUCUUCCGCCAUGGGCGAAAGCCUGACGGAGCAACGCCGCGUGAGUGAUGAAGGUCUUCGGAUCGUAAAACUCUGUUAUUAGGGAAGAACAUAUGUGUAAGUAACUGUGCACAUCUUGACGGUACCUAAUCAGAAAGCCACGGCUAACUACGUG
rnacentral:rRNA from 1 species